UAGGAAGGUGCAUAACGCUUUCCUUAUUUACGAAUUUCCCUUGAUAAAUUUUUACCCUUCCCUCCGUCUCUAUUGCUUCCGUUCAAUUCAGUUUUCAUUUCAAUCGUUCAGUUCAAUCAUUGACUCAUCAAAAACGUUACAACUGGUGAUCGAACUCGUGAUCCGAUUUUUCUGAGCUUCAAAUCUUCUUUGAUUUUCCUGAAUUUUCCGAAAUGGAAGUUCAAUCAGAUUCAACAGGCAAUUUCAAGCUAUGGAGCGAAUUGGAAUUACAUGAGUUCCCCAACAAAUUCGUGAUCAAAUCCAUUGAAUCGCCAGAUCAAGGAUUCUCCAUUAGCCGCUUCGACGGGAACAUCAAUGACCUCGACGGUCAAUUUUUCUCUCUCUUUUUACCCUGUGAAAAUUUCAAAAUUUGUUUCGAGUUUCAUUUAAUUGCACAAAAACUGAAACAAACAAAAAAUGUAACUACUUAUAUAAUUGAGGCAUCAUUUGCUUAAAUUGUAUAUUUACCUCAAGAGAAUCCUUGUUAGUUUUCUACAUACACUUUAGCACCAGUUCUUCAUGUUGAUUCCAAGAAGAUAAAGUAUGUGUUGAUAAUAAUGAGUAAGCGACAAAAAUAUCUAUAUGUGAAAAAAGGUUGCACGAUUUCUGGUGGUUGAACGAUUCUGAUUAAAAAGUGUCAUACUGACGUCUUCAAUGAUAAGUGGUUAAAAUGCUAAUGCAUAGCCAAAUUUGAAAAGCUGCAGCAGACGGGAGUGGUGAUUCACGACACAGGUGGAACAGUAAUUGCGGCAAGCUUGAAGAGAUUUACCUGGGUCUUUUUCUCCUUAAUAGGGUCGAUUGUAUAGCUCUCUUUAUUUCAUUGUCAGUGUUGAUUUCUAAAUAAUAAUCCUGGCCGACUGGGCUGAGUUUUCAAUUAAGAGGACAGAGGAUAAUUCCUUGUUAUCUUCCACGAGAAAUUAAACAAAAAGCCGCUGAAUUGGCCUAUUUCUUGCAUGUACCAAUUGAAGUCUUUUGAGAAGCUCAUGAGCUUGGUCUGUCUUCAACGUCAAGAAAUCAGCAUUGUUAUUCUUCUGACCUCUACGCAUUUCACCACUCCUCCAAAAAUUCCCACUGCCUCUACCAUACUCCAGCUUGGUAGUUUCCACUGCCCUCCUAAACUCACUAUUUUGCUACUCAAUAGGGAGCAAGAAGAGAAAUGGUUAUUUGAAAGGAAGCCAUUUCAAAUUCAACAUAACAUUCUUCAUCCCAAGCAUGUUUAUCUAUAUAUUUCUUUUCAGACUUUGGGGAUGAAUAUGUCUUUUUAGUUAGUGGUAUGUGACAGUCAUUGAUUGAUUGAUUUUCUAACUGAUCUGUUAUCAGUUCACAUUUUAUUUGCCUACUUACAUGUCAUUUAUUAAUUCGUUACGAAGUCAUUUUUUAUACUUCUAUUUACAUGUGCUUUGAUAACGGUUUUUGUCGAUGUGGAAGUG
rnacentral:lncRNA from 1 species